rnacentral:tRNA from 1 species
CAGAUAAUAGUUUAUUAAAAUAUUAGCAUUGGAAGCUAAAGAUCAAAUUUAUUUUGUUAUCUGA